rnacentral:tRNA from 1 species
GUCCCCGUCGAUUAGUGGUUAGAUCAUCACGUUGUGGCUUAGUCAGCAAAACCGUGGGGACGCAGGCUCGACUCCUGCCAGGGACA